UGGGGAAUCUUCCGCAAUGGACGAAAGUCUGACGGAGCAACGCCGCGUGAGUGAUGACGGCCUUCGGGUUGUAAAGCUCUGUUAAUCGGGACGAAAGGCCUUCUUGCGAAUAGUGAGAAGGAUUGACGGUACCGGAAUAGAAAGCCACGGCUAACUACGUGCCAGCAGCCACGGUAAUACGUAGGUGGCAAGCGUUGUCCGGAAUUAUUGGGCGUAAAGCGCGCGCAGGCGGAUAGGUCAGUCUGUCUUAAAAGUUCGGGGCUUAACCCCGUGAUGGGAUGGAAACUGCCAAUCUAGAGUAUCGGAGAGGAAAGUGGAAUUCCUAGUGUAGCGGUGAAAUGCGUAGAUAUUAGGAAGAACACCAGUGGCGAAGGCGACUUUCUGGACGAAAACUGACGCUGAGGCGCGAAAGCCAGGGGAGCGAACGGGAUUAGAUACCCCGGUAGUCCUGGCCGUAAACGAUGGGUACUAGGUGUAGGAGGUAUCGACCCCUUCUGUGCCGGAGUUAACGCAAUAAGUACCCCGCCUGGGGAGUACGACCGCAAGGUUG
rnacentral:rRNA from 1 species